UGGGUUCUGUAUUGUGUUCUGUUGAGCUGUUUGUCCAUUCCUUCACCAAUAUCACUCUCUUCAUUGCUUUAGCUUUGUGGUAAAGCUAACAAUAAUGAGUGUACUGCUCCUAAACAAGGAGUAUCUGCAUUUAUUUAAUAUUUUUUAUUCUUCUCAACCGUGAUCUAAAGUUUUCUGAAUGCAUAUUUGUAUGUAUUUUGUUAGAUUUAUACCUAAUAAAUUAAAUUUUGGGAAUGCUAUUGUAAAUGGUAUUUUUUUCAAAUUUCAAGUUCAAAUUAUUCCUAUACAUUAUUGCUGAUGAUAGAAAGAAAAUCAGGCAGUGUGUGGUGGCUCACGCCCGUAAUCCUAGCACUUUGGGAGGCCUAGUUGGGAGGAUCAUUUGAGCUUGGGAGUUCUAGACCAGCCUGGGCAACAUAGUUAGACCUGCCCCGCCCAUAAAAAAUAAAAUAAUAAAUAAAGGAAAAUCAGGUGGUGCCGGACACAGUUGUUCACACCUGUAAUCCCAGUGUGUUGGGAGGCUGAGGCUGGAGAAUUUCUUGAACCCGGGAGCUGGAGGCUGAACUCGGGAGCUGUGAUUACACCACUGCACUUCAGCAUGGGUGACAGAGCGAGACCCUGUCUCUUAAAGAGAAAAGAAAGAAAAUCAAUUAAGUUUUGCCUACUGGCCAUCUUUUUUUUGAGAUGGAGUUUGGCUCUGUCACCCAGGUUGGAGUGCAGUGACAUGAUCUUGGCUCACUGCAACCUGCGCCUCCUGGGUUCGAGCAAUCCUCCUGCCUCAGCCUCCUGAGUAGCUGGGAUUACAGGCACGUGCCGCCAUGCCCAGCUAAUUUUUGUAUUUUUAGUAUAGACGCGGUUUCACCAUGUUAGCCAGGCUGGUCUCAAACUCUGGACCUGAAGUAAUCCGCCCGCUUCAGCCUCCCAAAAUGCUGGGAUUACAGGCAUGAACUGGCCAUCUUCUUUGCUUCCUUGCUCCAUGAGUUCCGAUCAAGGCAUGGGAUGGUGGGCUCCAUUUCAGUCGUAAUUUCCAAAAUCCACAGCCUGGAAAAAUCUAGACGCUGAUUUUCAGAGACUCCCCAUGGCUGCCGCAAGGGGGCGCAUGGCCCCUGGCAACUCGGGGCGCCGUGCACGCACCGCGUCUCAUCCACACAGCGGCAGUCACUUUGCGGCCACUAUGAGGACUGAGCUUCCUCUCCCCAGGACCCGCAUGGGAGAGACCGCGGCUUCGAGACACCUGGGGACACCUGGGGACACCUGGGGCGGCGUCCGCGGUGAGGACUGGGAGACGCUGCUGCAUCUCCGGGACACCACUUGGGGCCGAGGCCAAGGACCCACCCAGGAGGGGCCAUGGCUUCGAGACACCUGAGGACACCUGGGGCCACGUCCGCGAUGAGGACAUCUCUGGGACACCUGGGGCUGCAUCUCCGGGACACCUGGGGCUGACCCUGGUACGGGGAAAGGAGGAGGAACACAGAGACGCCCUCGUGAGGUCGGGGACCAGCAGGCACCACAGUCUAAGGCCAAUGAAACAGGCGCCCCUAGAUGAGUGCUCGGUGUUUGUUUUGUUUUGUUUUCUUUUGAGAAGGAGUUUCGCUCUUGCUCCCCAGGCUGGAGUGCGAUGUCGCGAUCUCGACUCACUGCAACCUCUGCCUCCCGGGUUCAAGCGAUUCUCCUGCCUCAGCCUCCCGAGUAGCUGGGAUUACAGUCAUGCGCCAUCACGCCCGGCUAAUUUUGUAGUUUUAGUAGAGACGGUGUUUCUCCAUGUUGAUCAGGCUGGUCUCGAACUCCUGAUCUCAGGUGAUCCACCCACCUCGGCCUCCCAAAGUGCUGGAAUUACAGGCGUGACCCACUGGGCCCGGCCAGUGCUUUGUGUUUUAAGGCUCUUUUGUUAACGCAGUGGAAACAACACAGGAAAUGGAAAAGCAGGCACAUUAUCAUUCUCAGGCCACUGCAUUUAGCCUGGGCGACAGAGCGAGACCUUGUCUCAAAAAACAAAAACAAAUGAAAACAAAAACAAACCAUUUUGUGUGUCUAAUGGAAGUGACCUCGUCAACAACAGUCUUUUGUUGAGAAAGUCUGUUUAAUUGGCAGUGUAUUUGUAAUGGUACAUAAAAUGACGUCUGCUUUAUAAGCAUUCUCAUUCCUAUAUUAGAUGAAAUGUAUUAACUAUAUCAAGCUUUGAUAUUAUACCAUAAAAUUACUUGAAGAAAGUCACUACUCUUUUUUUUCCUUUACCUUGACCAUUUUAAAUAAAAUCAUAUUUCAUUAAGGUUAGUUAAUACUGAGCUGUAAAUAUGUAUGGUCCUGGGGUCUUUUCUUUCUUUUUUCCUUUUUUUUUUUUUUUUUUUGAAACGGAGUCUCGCUCUGUCUCCCAGGCUGGAGUGCAGUGGCGCAAUCUCGGCUCACCGCAACCUCCACCUCCUGGGUUUGAGCAAUUCUCUGCCUCAGCCUCCUAAGUAGCUGGGAUUAUAGUCACUUACCACCA
rnacentral:lncRNA from 10 species